GCUCCUUUAACUCAGUUGGUCAGAGUAGAUCCCUCAUAAGGAUAAGGUCAUUGGUUCAAGUCCGAUAAGGAGCACGA
rnacentral:tRNA from 1 species